UACAGAGGUCCCGAGCGUUAGGCGGAAUCACUGGGCUUAAAGCGUGUGUAGGCGGAUUUGUAAGUACCUUGUGAAAUCCCACGGCUUAACCGUGGAACGGCUGGGUAUACUGCGAAUCUUGGGCCAUCUAGGGGCUAGCGGAACAAACGGUGGAGCGGUGAAAUGCGUAGAUAUCGUUUGGAACGCCAAUGGUGAAAACAGCUAGCUGGGGAUGUGCCGACGCUGAGACACGAAAGCCAGGGGAGCAAACGGG
rnacentral:rRNA from 1 species